rnacentral:lncRNA from 1 species
UGACCUAAAAGCUGUUAGAUGUAUGCCCUAGAAGCCAAUCAGACCGACACAUAUAUUCUUUCUAGGACAUAAAUUUGUAUUUGACUUUUAAAAUAUUAUGAAUAACUUUGGUUUUUAUUUCCAUUCAUGUUGUGUAUGUGUCCAUGAAUCGUCCAAGGAAUUAAUAAGAUGAUGACAUAUAUUCUCAAGUGUUGAGAAUUUGAGACAUGUGUCAUUGGUGAUUAAUUCCUAAAUGCUUNGAUUCCACGAUCAUCAAAUUGAGGCAAGAAUUUAUCCGCGAAAAAGGUAAUGAUUCGAUCUUACUUUUCUCCUUUAAUCUUAAAGAACAUGAGGGAUCCUAAUUGCGUGGUUUUUGAGAUUUGAUCUCGAGAGUUUUCAAAAAUCAAAUUUGUUUGAUUUCUUUUUCCGCUGCGUUUUUGCCGUACGCAAUUUUCUAACAAAAGCUCCCUCUCUCUCUCUAAGAUCUCUUUCUCUCUCUCU